GCUAGCGUGGCCUAAUGGACAAGGCGCAUGACUUCGAAUCAUGAGAUUCCGGGUUCGAGUCCCGGCGUUGGUU
rnacentral:tRNA from 1 species